rnacentral:tRNA from 1 species
GUGCGUAUAAUUUAAAAAAAUAUUAGAUUGUGAUUCUAAAAAUGAGAACUAAUCCCUCUCUACUCACC